GACGAACGCUGGCGGCGUGCCUAAUACAUGCAAGUUGAGCGAUGAAGAUUGGUGCUUGCACCAAUUUUAAGAGCAGCGAACGGGUGAGUAACGCGUGGGGAAUCUGCCUUUGAGCGGGGGACAACAUUUGGAAACGAAUGCUAAUACCGCAUAACAACUUUAAACAUAAGUUUUAAGUUUGAAAGAUGCAAUUGCAUCACUCAAAGAUGAUCCCGCGUUGUAUUAGCUAGUUGGUGAGGUAAAGGCUCACCAAGGCGAUGAUACAUAGCCGACCUGAGAGGGUGAUCGGCCACAUUGGGACUGAGACACGGCCCAAACUCCUACGGGAGGCAGCAGUAGGGAAUCUUCGGCAAUCGACGAAAGUCUGACCGAGCAACGCCGCGUGAGUGAAGAAGGUUUUCGGAUCGUAAAACUCUGUUGGUAGAGAAGAACGUUGGUGAGAGUGGAAAGCUCAUCAAGUGACGGUAACUACCCAGAAAGGGACGGCUAACUACGUG
rnacentral:rRNA from 1 species